ACCUUCUUCCUCUUCUGCUGAAAAACCUUCUUCUGUGAUUUCCCUUUUGAGAUCUAGGUCUCUCGAUCUGGGUCUCAAAUUCGUCCGUGCUAGCCUUUCUCAGUUAAAUUUCUUUCUCCUUCUCUUUGAAUCUCACGAUUGAUUUGAUUUUAGGGUUUGCAAAUUAUGUUUUGAAAAUCUCACGUUGUUGUUUGUGGUUUCGAUUGUAGGGUUUUCAAAUCAGAAUUACAAUUACAAGAGCGCACUCUCCCUAUCUCCAUCGAUUUUGGGUUUGAAUUCAGUUCAUAAGUGCUGGAACUAAUUAAGCAUUUAAUGUCCAACUGCCAAUGAACUGAUGGAUUUAAAGAAAAUGGAGGAGCUCCAGACUAAGGAGGCCUAACUAAAUAAAAUUAAAAAGGAACAGGUAAUUUCUUGCACUACUGCGAAUGAGUGUAGCACUAAGGGUUCGUUUCAUGCUGUGGUGAUAAUCAUCACAGGGAGCAGGAUUUAACGGCGUCGAAUGGCAGUGAAGACACAAGCCAACGAAAGUCCUAUGGGGCAGAGCCAGCACAAGAUGGAACUGCCAGAUUCGAGGAUGGUAUAGGUAAUGCUUUAUAGUCACAAACUUUUUGAAUAAGUACAUCCUUAUUUAAACUUCCUCUCACUGGUAUACAUGAUAGAACACCCUCUGAUUUAGAGUCAUUGCCUAGAGAUACAAAACCAUUGCUGAAGUUAGAAUUUAAGAAUCCUUAUCCGCAAAGCCUCGAGCAGACUUCUAUCAGAGGUCAAAGAUUGAAAAGAAAGAGACCUUCACCUACUGUGGAGAAAGCCCAAAGCCCCUAUUAUGGAAGAUGAGGGCUAUUCACAAUUGCAUUUGAGGGGACUUCAACUAUAACUGUCCUUUUAGAUUAUGGUAAUGCUAACACUUGGAAGCAGCGAGUUCGGUUUGUUUCUCAUAAGAAAAUGCGGAGGAAACCUUGAGUUUGUACCCUAGAUAUACAUUUGGAAACUGGUUGUCCAAAUCCAAUUUGAGUUCCCUUUUGGUCUCAUUCUUUCUGGGAGUACUCCGGAGCUGUUGUUCGGGCGUGGAAUCAGACAGGUUCGAUUUGAAUGAUAGCUUCUAAACUGGCAAGAUCCAUGAUCUCAAGUCUUCUUCAUGUACCACAAAUCCUGGAUUUUCAAUCUGGGCAGUUUCUUAAUGUAAAGAUCUAAUGGUGGCAAUGCAUAACCGUGCUAGCCAACCUGGAUCUGGAGUUGUUUUAGGUGGACGAAAAGAUGCAUUAGCCGCUAAGGAAUAGUCGAACAAAAGGUUGCAGAAUCGGAGGCUCAAGUCCCAAUAUUGCCACCAGAUGGAAACACUGAAGUACUCGAGUAUGAGGAUAAUGAGGAUGAAAAGUUCAAUGUCAAUUGGAAAAGAGCUGCUAUCACAAGUGGGUUUGGUUUUGGAUUUGUUGGUCCAAUUGGCCAUUACUGGGGCUAAAAUCCUCUUUUAGAUAUGCUGGGUAGGACGAGAACACAUCAAUUGAAGUCAGGUAUCUAGCUGUACUCUUCAAACAACAAUUAGCUGCAUGUGCAGAGAAGAUUUUUGGCAUGAUUCGAGAUCUUUCAAAGAAAGAGAUACGGCCACUUCUUAACUUUGCAACCAGGCACCAAAAGCUGUGCGAGGAAACGCGCGAAAUCAUCUAAGUCUCCUGGGAGUUGUUCUAAGAAGUCACUUAACAACUGAGAAUGUACUAUAAAAUUCUUGGAUUCGUUGUAUACAACUUUGGAAGUCUGAAAAUAUCACAUUUUGGUUGUUUUUCAGAUUUUUUGUAUUUUUUUUUUGUAUGAGACUUGAUGCUGUAAAUGACCGAAUCUUUUUUGUCAACAACUUGAUUUCAUAAAUGAGAAUCUAUUUUGGGAUAAAA